GACAGAGGGUGCAAACGUUGUUCGGAAUUACUGGGCGUAAAGCGCGUGUAGGCGGCUCGGAAAGUCGGAUGUGAAAGCCCAGGGCUCAACCCUGGAAGUGCACUCGAAACUUCCGAGCUGGAGUCCCGGAGAGGAAGGCGGAAUUCUCGGUGUAGAGGUGAAAUUCGUAGAUAUCGAGAGGAACACCUGUGGCGAAGGCGGCCUUCUGGACGGUGACUGACGCUGAGACGCGAAAGCGUGGGGAGCAAACAGG
rnacentral:rRNA from 1 species